rnacentral:tRNA from 1 species
CGGGGCGUAGCGCAGUCUGGUAGCGCACUUGACUGGGGGUCAAGGGGUCGGAGGUUCAAGUCCUCUCGCCCCGA